AAUGAAUUGAAGUUGGCCUUAGGGGUAAUAGGACUCCCAGUUACUGCGCGCAAUCAUAUACUGAGGUGCUCCCCGACGGUUGUUGGAACGACGCGAGCCAGCCUGGGCCUCGAUUCAGAAAGAUGAAGGGCCAAAAAGU